GACGAACGCUGGCGGCGUGCUUAACACAUGCAAGUCGAACGGAAAGGCCCUGCUUUUGUGGGGUGCUCGAGUGGCGAACGGGUGAGUAACACGUGAGUAACCUGCCCUUGACUUUGGGAUAACUUCAGGAAACUGGGGCUAAUACCGGAUAGGAGCUCCUGCUGCGUGGUGGGGGUUGGAAAGUUUCGGCGGUUGGGGAUGGACUCGCGGCUUAUCAGCUUGUUGGUGGGGUAGUGGCUUACCAAGGCUUGGACGGGUAGCCGGCCUGAGAGGGUGACCGGCGACAUUGGUACUGCGAUACGGCCCAGUCGCCUACGGGAGGCAACAGUGGGGAAUAUUACACAGUGGGCGGAAGCCUGAUGCGGCAACGCCGCGUGCGGGAUGACGGCCUUCGGGUUGUGAACCGCUUUCGCCUGUGACGAAGCGUGAGUGACGGUACUGAGUAAAGAAGCACCGGCUAACUACGUG
rnacentral:rRNA from 1 species